GAUGAACGCUGGCGGCGUGCCUAAUACAUGCAAGUCGAGCGAACGGACGAGAAGCUUGCUUCUCUGAUGUUAGCGGCGGACGGGUGAGUAACACGUGGAUAACCUACCUAUAAGACUGGGAUAACUUCGGGAAACCGGAGCUAAUACCGGAUAAUAUUUUGAACCGCAUGGUUCAAAAGUGAAAGACGGUCUUGCUGUCACUUAUAGAUGGAUCCGCGCUGCAUUAGCUAGUUGGUAAGGUAACGGCUUACCAAGGCAACGAUGCAUAGCCGACCUGAGAGGGUGGUCGCCCACAAUGGAACUGAGACACGGUCCAGAAUCCUACGGGAGGAAGCAGUAGGGAAUCUUCCGCAAUGGGCGAAAGCCUGACGGAGCAACGCCGCGUGAGUGAUGAAGGUCUUCGGAUCGUAAAACUCUGUUAUUAGGGAAGAACAUAUGUGUAAGUAACUGUGCACAUCGUGACGGUACCUAAUCAGAAAGCCACGGCUAACUCCGUG
rnacentral:rRNA from 1 species